AGCGCAGCUACCAUGCAGUCGAGCGGUAACAGAUAGAAGCUUGCUCUAUCUGCUGACGAGCGGCGGACGGGGGAGUAAUGCCUAGAUAUCUGCCUAGUCGUGGGGGAUAACAGUUGGAAACGACUGCUAAUACCGCAUACGCCCUACGGGGGAAAGGAGGGGACCUUCGGGCCUUCCGCGAUUAGAUGAGUCUAGGUGGGAUUAGCUUGUUGGUGAGGUAAGAGCUCACCAAGGCGACGAUCCCUAGCUGGUCUGAGAGGAUGAUCAGCCACACUGGGACUGAGACACGGCCCAGACUCCUACGGGAGGCAGCAGUGGGGAAUAUUGCACAAUGGGCGAAAGCCUGAUGCAGCCAUGCCGCGUGUGUGAAGAAGGCCUUCGGGUUGUAAAGCACUUUCAGUUGUGAGGAAAAGUUGGUGGUUAAUACCCAUCAGCCGUGACGUUAGCAACAGAAGAAGCACCGGCUAACUUCGUGCCAGCAGCCGCGGUAAUACGAGGGGUGCAAGCGUUAAUCGGAAUUACUGGGCGUAAAGCGUUCGUAGGUGGUUUGUUAAGCAAGAUGUGAAAGCCCCGGGCUCAACCUGGGAACUGCAUUUUGAACUGGCAGACUAAGAGUCUUGGAGAGGGGAGUGGAAUUUCUGGUGUAGCGGUGAAAUGCGUAGAUAUCAGAAGGAACAUCAGUGGCGAAGGCGACUCCCUGGCCAAAGACUGACGCUCAUGUGCGAAAUGUGCGAAAGUGUGGGUAGCGAACAGGAUUAGAUACCCUGGUAGUCCACACCGUAAACGAUGUCUACUAGCUGUUUGUGGAUUUAAUCCGUGAGUAGCGAAGCUAACGCGAUAAGUAGACCGCCUGGGGAGUACGGCCGCAAGGUUAAAACUCAAAUGAAUUGACGGGGGCCCGCACAAGCGGUGGAGCAUGUGGUUUAAUUCGAUGCAACGCGAAGAACCUUACCAGGUCUUGACAUCCAGAGAACUUACUAGAGAUAGUUUGGUGCCUUCGGGAACUCUGUGACAGGUGCUGCAUGGCUGUCGUCAGCUCGUGUUGUGAAAUGUUGGGUUAAGUCCCGUAACGAGCGCAACCCUUAUCCUUAUUUGCCAGCACGUAAUGGUGGGAACUCUAAGGAGACUGCCGGUGACAAACCGGAGGAAGGUGGGGACGACGUCAAGUCAUCAUGGCCCUUACGACCUGGGCUACACACGUGCUACAAUGGCGAGAACAGAGGGCCGCGAAGCCGCGAGGUGAAGCUAAUCCCAGAAAACUCGUCGUAGUCCGGAUUGGAGUCUGCAACUCGACUCCAUGAAGUCGGAAUCGCUAGUAAUCGCGAAUCAGAAUGUCGCGGUGAAUACGUUCCCGGGCCUUGUACACACCGCCCGUCACACCAUGGGAGUGGAUUGCACCAGAAGUAGCUAGCUUAACCUUCGGGAUGGCGGUUACCACGGUG
rnacentral:rRNA from 1 species